rnacentral:rRNA from 1 species
UACGUAGGGUGCAAGCGUUAAUCGGAAUUACUGGGCGUAAAGCGUGCGCAGGCGGCUUUGCAAGACAGAUGUGAAAUCCCCGGGCUCAACCUGGGAACUGCAUUUGUGACUGCAUGGCUAGAGUACGGUAGAGGGGGAUGGAAUUCCGCGUGUAGCAGUGAAAUGCGUAGAUAUGCGGAGGAACACCGAUGGCGAAGGCAAUCCCCUGGACCUGUACUGACGCUGAGACGCGAAAGCGUGGGGAGCAAACAGG